GACGAGCGCUGGCGGCGUGCUUAACACAUGCAAGUCGAACGGAAAGGCCCUGCUUUUGUGUGGUGCUCGCGUCGCGAACGGGUGAGUAACACGGGAGUAACCUGCCCUUGACUUUGGGAUAACUUCAGGAAACUGGGGCUAAUACCGGAUAGGAGCUCCUGCUGCAUGGUGGGGGUUGGAAAGUUUCGGUGGUUGGGGAUGGACGCGCGGCUUAUCAGCUUGUUGGUGGGGGAGUGGCUUACCAAGGCUUUGACGGGUAGCCGGCCUGAGAGGGUGAACGGCCACAUUGGGCCUGAGAUACGGCCCAGACUCCUACGGGAGGCAGUAGUGGGGAAUAUUGCACAAUGGGCGGAAGCGUGAUGCAGCAACGCCGCGUGCGGGAUGACGGCCUUCGGGUUGUAAACCGCUUUCGGCUGUGACGAAGCGUGAGUGACGGUAAUGGGUAAAGAAGCACCGGCUAACUACGUG
rnacentral:rRNA from 1 species